rnacentral:rRNA from 1 species
AAUCAACGCUGGCGGCGUGCCUCAGACAUGCAAGUCGAACGAUUAAACUUUCCUUCGGGAAAGAUAUAAAGUGGCGUACGGGUGAGUAACACGUAAGUAAUCUACCUUUGAGUGGGGAAUAACAGUCGGAAACGACUGCUAAUACCGCAUAAUGCAGCGGCACCGCAAGGUGACAGUUGUUAAAGCAUUUAUGCGCUUAAAGAGGAGCUUGCGGCAGAUUAGCUAGUUGGAAGGUAAUGGCUUACCAAGGCAACGAUCUGUAUCCGGUCUAAGAGGACGGUCGGACACACUGACACUGAAUAACGGGUUAGACUCCUACGGGAGGGCAGCAGUCGGGGGA